GGAGCAUAGCUCAGUGGUAGAGAACGUGCUUAGCAUGCACAAUGUCCUGGUUUCAAUCCCCAGUAACUCCA
rnacentral:tRNA from 1 species